GACGAACCGUGCGAACGUUGUUCGGAAUCACUGGGCCUAAAGGGCGCGUAGGCGGCUUGUCAAGUCAGGGGUGAAAUCCGGCAGCUUAACUGUCGAAGUGCCUUUGAUACUGAUGAGCUAGAGGGAGAUAGGGGUAUGCGGAACUUCCGGUGGAGCGGUGAAAUGCGUUGAUAUCGGAAGGAACGCCGGUGGCGAAAGCGGCGUACUGGAUCUCUUCUGACGCUGAGGCGCGAAAGCUAGGGGAGCAAACGGG
rnacentral:rRNA from 1 species